AUAAACAUAAUCAUAAUCAUGACCCCUCUGUGGGAUCUCAUCAAUGCCCCAAUGGGCGAUACAUCAUAAGUUGAGUUGGUUUGCAUAAUCAUCAUAAAAUAUCUAAAAUCAUGUAUUAAAAGGGAUAUCUUCUACAUAUAGUCAAGCACAACCUCUAAUCCUCAAAAUCAUUACAUGACUAAAACUGUACUUCUGAAUAACAUUAAUACAUUUAUCAUGUUCACACUAUCUAUUACAAACACUUGACUUCAUUACUCUUACGGAUCUCCUGGUCUACCCUGUACCUGCAAUCCUGGGGAAAAUGGGAGAGGGGUGAGCUACUAGAGCCCAGUGAGCAGAAUAAUAAAAACAUUUAAAUCAUAUGGCAUCAUGGAAUGCAUCACAUCACAGCUAAUCACAUCAAGGAUGAACUUGUCACCAAUAGCCCUCUACAUAGUCCAACUGUGCCAGAACGUAGAAUGGGUCCUGGUCUUUCCCUUAC
rnacentral:lncRNA from 1 species